rnacentral:rRNA from 1 species
AUUGAACGCUGGCGGCAGGCUUAACACAUGCAAGUCGAACGAGUGGCGGACGGGUGAGUAAUGCUUGGGAAUCUAGCUUAUGGAGGGGGAUAACUACGGGAAACUGUAGCUAAUACCGCGUACCAAAGGAUGAGCCCAAGUGGGAUUAGGUAGUUGGUGAGGUAAAGGCUAACCAAGCCGACGAUCUCUAGCUGGUCUGAGAGGAUGACCAGCCACACUGGGCAUGAGAAACGGCCCAGACGCCUGCGUGAGGCAGCAGUGGGGAAGAGUGCGAAAUGGGGGCAACCUGACGCAGCUCUGCCGCGUGAAUGAAGAAGGCCUUCGGGUUGUAAAGUUCUUUCGGUAGCGAGGCGUUAACUACAGAAGAAGCACCGGCUAACUCCGUGCCAGCCGCCGCGGUAAUUC